GGCCUGUUCGUCUACCGGUUAGGACGUCAGCUUCUCAAGCUGGAAAAACGGGUUCAAUUCCCGUACGGGCUGCCA
rnacentral:tRNA from 3 species